rnacentral:tRNA from 1 species
GGGGAGAGGUCUAAAUGGAUAAUAGUACUUGCUUUGCAAACAUGAAGAUCUGGGUUCAAACUCCCAGUGUCCAUG